GAUGAGCGCUGGCGGCGUGCCUAAUACAUGCAAGUAGAACGCUGAAGGAGGAGCUUGCUCUUCUGGAUGAGUUGCGAACGGGUGAGUAACGCGUAGGUAACCUGCCUGGUAGCGGGGGAUAACUAUUGGAAACGAUAGCUAAUACCGCAUGACAACAGUUAUUGCAUGAUAACUGUUUAAAAGGGGCAACUGCUCCACUACCAGAUGGACCUGCGUUGUAUUAGCUAGUUGGUGAGGUAACGGCUCACCAAGGCGACGAUACAUAGCCGACCUGAGAGGGUGAGCGGCCACACUGGGACUGAGACACGGCACAGACUCCUACGGGAGGCAGCAGUAGGGAAUCUUCGGCAAUGGACGGGAGUCUGACCGAGCAACGCCGAGUGAGUGAAGAAGGUUUUCGGAUCGUAAAGCUCUGUUGUAAGAGAAGAACGAGUGUGAGAGUGGAAAGUUCACACUGUGACGGUAGCUUACCAGAAAGGGACGGCUAACUACGUG
rnacentral:rRNA from 1 species